AGCAGCCGCGGUAAUUCCAGCUCCAAUAGCGUAUAUUAAAGUUGUUGCAGUUAAAAAGCUCGUAGUUGAAUUUCGGGACCAAUUUGUUGGUCGUGCCUCGGUACGUACUGGUAUUAUUGGUUUCUCCCUUCUGAAGAACCUCGAUGCCAUUAAUUUGGUGUCGUGGGGAAUCAGGACUGUUACUUUGAAAAAAUUAGAGUGUUUAAAGCAAGCAUACGCUUGAAUACAUUAGCAUGGAAUAAUGAAAUAGGACGUUUGAUUCUAUUUUGUUGGUUUCUAGGAUCGACGUAAUGAUUAAUAGGGAUAGUUGGGGGCAUUAGUAUUCAAUUGUCAGAGGUGAAAUUCUUGGAUUUAUUGAAGACUAACUACUGCGAAAGCAUUUGCCAAGGAUGUUUCAUUAAUCAAGAACGAAAGUUAGGGGAUCGAAGACGAUCAGAUACCGUCGUAGUUCUUAACCAUAAACUAUGCCGACUAGGAUCGGAUGAUGUUAAUUUUUAAUGUACUCAUUCGGCGCCUUACG
rnacentral:rRNA from 1 species